GUAGGCGUUUCAUGGAGGGAAUGUUAAAAUACAAAAUUUUCGGACAGGGGUUCGAUUCCCCUCGCCUCCA
rnacentral:tRNA from 3 species